AGUGAACGCUGGCGGUAGGCCUAACACAUGCAAGUCGAACGGCAGCACAGUAAGAGCUUGCUCUUACGGGUGGCGAGUGGCGGACGGGUGAGGAAUACAUCGGAAUCUACUUUUUCGUGGGGGAUAACGUAGGGAAACUUACGCUAAUACCGCAUACGACCUACGGGUGAAAGCAGGGGAUCUUCGGACCUUGCGCGAUUGAAUGAGCCGAUGUCGGAUUAGCUAGUUGGCGGGGUAUAGGCCCACCAAGGCGACGAUCCGUAGCUGGUCUGAGAGGAUGAUCAGCCACACUGGAACUGAGACACGGUCCAGACUCCUACGGGAGGCAGCAGUGGGGAAUAUUGGACAAUGGGCGCAAGCCUGAUCCAGCCAUACCGCGUGGGUGAAGAAGGCCUUCGGGUUGUAAAGCCCUUUUGUUGGGAAGGAAAAGCAGCAGGUUAAUACCCCGCUGUUCUGACGGUACCCAAAGAAUAAGCACCGGCUAACUUCGUG
rnacentral:rRNA from 1 species